rnacentral:rRNA from 1 species
UACGAAGGGGGCGAGCGUUGUUCGGAUUUACUGGGCGUAAAGGGCGCGCAGGCGGCUAGUUUUGUCGAGUGUGAAAGCCCCGGGCUUAACCUGGGAACUGCGCUCGAAACGGGCUGGCUAGAGAUCGGGAGAGGAGAGUGGAAUUCCCAGUGUAGAGGUGAAAUUCGUAGAUAUUGGGAAGAACACCGGUGGCGAAGGCGGCUCACUGGCUCGUAACUGACGCUCAUGCACGACAGCGUGGGGAUCAAACAGG